UACAGAGGUCUCAAGCGUUGUUCGGAUUCAUUGGGCGUAAAGCGUGCGCAGGCGGUUAUGUAAGACAGAUGUGAAAUGCCCGGGCUUAACCUGGGAACUGCAUUUGUGACUGCAUGGCUAGAGUUUGGCAGAGGGGGGUAGAAUUCCACGUGUAGCAGUGAAAUGCGUAGAUAUGUGGAGGAAUACCGAUGGCGAAGGCAGCCCCCUGGGCCAAUACUGACGCUCAUGCAC
rnacentral:rRNA from 1 species